rnacentral:rRNA from 1 species
UACGUAGGUGGCAAGCGUUGUCCGGAUUUACUGGGCGUAAAGGGCGCGUAGGCGGCCUGCUAAGUCGGGUGUGAAAACUCUGGGCUCAACCCAGAGCCUGCAUUCGAUACUGACGGGCUAGAGUACUGGAGGGGAAAGCGGAAUUCCUGGUGUAGCGGUGAAAUGCGUAGAUAUCAGGAGGAACACCGGUGGCGAAGGCGGCUUUCUGGACAGUAACUGACGCUGAGGCGCGAAAGCUAGGGGAGCAAACAGG